AUGCACCCACGUACACACGUGCACACACACACACACACACACAAGUACACACAGCCUCCCCCACAUGCACAUGCCCAUGAAUGCACCCAUAUACACACGUGCACACACACACGCACACAAGUACACACAGACACCCCCCCCACACACAUACACACAGACACACACAUGCACCCACUUACACAGGGACACGCACACAUGCACACACGUACAUGCCCACGAAUGCACCCACGUGCACACACACACACACACACACAAGUACACACAGCCCCAUACCCCUCCACACAUACACACAGACACACACACAUGCACCCACUUACACAGGGACACAAACACAUGCACACACAUACAUGUCCACGAAUGCACCCACGUACACACGUGCACACACACAUGCACACAAGUACACACAGCCCCAGCCCCCCACAUGCACAUGCCCUCGAAUGCACCCACGUGCACACAUACACACACACACAAGUACACACAGCCCCACACCCCUUCACACAUACACACAGACACACACACAUGCACCCACUUACACAGGGACACACACACAUGCACACACGUACAUGUCCACGAAUGUACCCAUGUACACACGUGCACACACACACACAAAGUACACACAGCCCUACACCCCUCCACACAUACACACAGACACACACACAUGCACCCGCUUACACAGGGACACACACACAUGCACACACAUACAUGCCCACGAAUGCACCCACGUACACACACACAUGCUCACGAAUGCUCACACGCGCACAGACACACCCCCACAUGCUCACGAAUACACAUGUACACACACGCACACACGCACAUGCUAACAAAUGCACAGAUGCACACACAGAUGCACACUCCCCCCGUACACACUGUGUAAAUGUAUGCACACACACGGACACAUGUGUGGACCCUAACGAGGGAGUCGCUGAGGUCGUGAUUGCACAGGGAGGGCCCCUGGGGCUUUUAGUCCACCCAGGGGGACACGUCAGCUCCCCAUUUCCCAUGCCCGCCCCAGGUUCAUCCACGCUGGACACCAUGCAUUUCCAAACACAACAGGACCAUCCCGCUCGAAGACCUUGUCCUUCAUCUGACCUUCACUCCCUCACCUGGCUGACGCCCUCGUUCUUGCUAAUGGGCUUGGAACAACUCCUCCAGCAACGUGACGGCAUUAGUCUCCUACAGCUGCUGUAA
rnacentral:lncRNA from 1 species